GAUGAACGCUGGCGGCGUGCCUAAUACAUGCAAGUCGAACGAAAGGACGGGAAGCUUGCUCCCAUGAGGUUGGAGGGGGACGGAUGAGUCACACGUGGAUAACAUACCUCUAAGACUGGGAUAAUAUCGGGAGACAGGAUCUACUACCGGAUAAUAUUUUGAACUGCGUUGUUCCAGAGUGAAAGACGGUCUUGCUGUCAGUAAUAGACGGCUACGGGUUGAAUUAGCUAGUUGGUAAGGUAACGGCUUACCAAGGCAACGAUGCAGAGCCGACCUGAGAGGGUGAUCGGCCACCCGGGAACUGAGACACGGUCCAGACUCCUACGGUAGGCAGCAGUAGGGAAUCUUCCGCGAUGGGCGAAAGCCUGAUGGUGCAACACCGCGGGAGUGAUGAAGGUCUUCUGAUCGUAAAGCUCUGUUGUUAGGAAAGAACAAAUGCGUAUUUAACCGUGCUCAUCAUGACGGUACCGAAACAAAAAGCCACGGCUAACUACGUG
rnacentral:rRNA from 1 species